GUGGCGCCGGGCGGCGGGGCGUCCACGCCGGUGCGGACGGCGGCGAUCCGGCCGUCGGUCACGUCGAGGGCGACGCCC
rnacentral:tRNA from 2 species